ACGAACGCUGGCGGCAUGCCUAACACAUGCAAGUCGAACGAGACCUUCGGGUCUAGUGGCGCACGGGUGCGUAACACGUGGGAAUCUGCCCUUAGGUACGGAAUAACUCAGGGAAACUUGUGCUAAUACCGUAUGAUGACUUCGGUCCAAAGAUUUAUCGCCUAAGGAUGAGCCCGCGUCGGAUUAGCUAGUUGGUGGGGUAAAGGCCCACCAAGGCGACGAUCCGUAGCUGGUCUGAGAGGAUGAUCAGCCACACUGGGACUGAGACACGGCCCAGACUCCUACGGGAGGCAGCAGUGGGGAAUAUUGGACAAUGGGCGAAAGCCUGAUCCAGCAAUGCCGCGUGAGUGAAGAAGGCCUUCGGGUUGUAAAGCUCUUUUACCCGGGAAGAUAAUGACUGUACCGGGAGAAUAAGCCCCGGCUAACUCCGUGC
rnacentral:rRNA from 1 species